rnacentral:rRNA from 1 species
AGCGAACGUUGGCGGCAGGCCUAACACAUGCAAGUCGAACGCCCUAGCAAUAGGGAGUGGCAGACGGGUGAGUAACACGUGGGAACCUUCCCUAUAGUAGGGAAUAGCCCAGGGAAACUUGGAGUAAUAUCGUAUACGCCCGAGAGGGGAAAGAUUUAUCGCUAUAGGAUGGGCACGCGUCGGAUUAGCUAGUUGGUGAGGUAAUGGCUCAACAAGGCAACGAUCCGUAGCUGGUUUGAGAGAAUGACCAGCCACACUGGGACUGAGACACGGCCCAGACUCCUACGGGAGGCAGCAGUGGGGAAUCUUGGACAAUGGGCGCAAGCCUGAUUCAGCCAUGCCGCGUGAGUGAUGAAGGCCUUAGGGUUGUAAAGCUCUUUUGGCGGGGACGAUAAUGACGGUACCCGCAGAAUAAGUCCCGGCUAACUUCGUGCCAGCCGCCGCGGUAACAC